UUGCCAACCUUCCUAAAUCUGAAAUGGAUGCAAAAAUCUAACUGAUUCUGAUCUGAUGGUUAUCCACGUUGAAAAUAUCUCUUUUAACUCAAAAAUAUCUCUAAAAAGUAAAAUAAAUAGAAAAACUGUAACCAUUGAGGAGUUAGAAGAUAGAUUAGAUGAUUAUAGUAUAGAACUUAAAAUAAAAACUUCAUUCGAUUCUCUAAGAAA
rnacentral:lncRNA from 1 species